AUUGAACGCUGGCGGCAGGCCUAACACAUGCAAGCCGAGCGGCAGCGGGAAAGUAGCUUGCUACUUUUGCCGGCGAGCGGCGGACGGGUGAGUAAUGCCUGGGGAUCUGCCCAGUCGAGGGGGAUAACUACUGGAAACGGUAGCUAAUACCGCAUACGCCCUACGGGGGAAAGCAGGGGACCUUCGGGCCUUGCGCGAUUGGAUGAACCCAGGUGGGAUUAGCUAGUUGGUGAGGUAACGGCUCACCAAGGCGACGAUCCCUAGCUGGUCUGAGAGGAUGAUCAGCCACACUGGAACUGAGACACGGUCCAGACUCCUACGGGAGGCAGCAGUGGGGAAUAUUGCACAAUGGGGGAAACCCUGAUGCAGCCAUGCCGCGUGUGUGAAGAAGGCCUUCGGGUUGUAAAGCACUUUCAGCGAGGAGGAAAGGUCAGUAGCUAAUAUCUGCUGGCUGUGACGUUACUCGCAGAAGAAGCACCGGCUAACCCCGUGCCAGCAGCCGCAGUAAAAC
rnacentral:rRNA from 1 species